ensembl:lncRNA
UGCAAAAUUCAUGGGAAAGCACAGGAAGCUGUCGCUGCACUCUCCUUGGAGGACAGCCUAAAAUAUGACUCUGUUAAAGCUGCCAUCUUGCGAGCAUAUGAAUUAGUACCUGAGGCGUACAGGCAAAAAUUCCGGAAUCACAGAAUGGCCCCGACCCAGAACUACGUUGAGUUUGCCAGGGAGAAGGGGGUCUUGUUCGACAAGUGGAGCACCACGUGUAGGGCCAAUGAUUUUAAUUCCUUGAGGGAGUUAAUAUUACUGGAGGAAUUCAAGAAAUGUUUGCCUGACAGGAUCGUGGUGUACCUGAGUGAACAAAAGGUUAGUUCACUUUCCUCUGCUGCGGUGUUAGCCGAUGAGUAUGUUUUAACGCACAAGGUUGUGUUUUCAUCGGAGAGUGUUGAGGAGCCGCGUUAUCGACCGGCCUAACAAAAUAGUUUGCGGGAGCCGCAAAGCCCAAGGAGGGAGGACAGGGAAUGUUUUUACUGUCACCAACCUGGGCACGUCAUAGCCAACUGUAUUACGAGAAAACAUAGGGAACAACAAUCGUCUUCUAGCGGGGCACAGUCUAAAGGCAUUGGGUUAAUUAAAACAGAUCCGUGCACCAACCAUGGGCUUGGUAAUAGAAAACCGGUUGACGAUUGUUUUAAACCCUUCAUAUUCGACGGGCUAGUGUCGUUAACAGGCGAGCCUGCUGAUCAACACCUGGUAAGGAUCUUAAGAGACACUGCGUGUUCUCAAUCGGUCAUUCUCGCCUCUGCGCUGCCGUUUUCCGGCCGUUCUGCUUGUGGACAUGGUUCUGUGUUGCGUGGCAUUGAGAUGGGGUACCGCCCCCGGCCAGUACACAGAGUACACAUACAGACAAAGCUAGUAACUGGUUUCUUUCCGAUUGCUGCCUGCCACGCGUUGCCAAUUGAAGGUGUUACACUUUUAAUGGGUAACGAUAUAGCUGGCGGUAAAGUGGUUCCUGCACGGGAAGUAGUGGAUCUUCCGUGCCGCACAGAGAUUGAUCUAGCACCGGCACCUUCGGGGUUGUUCCCUACUUGUGUGAAAACCCGUGCAGAAGCAAAAAAAGGGUACGAUGGUUCUCUGUUUGAUGGUGUGCUUAAGCCGGUGUUGUUGGAGGAAGCUGGCAUGGAAGAUGGGACGGGAGUCUCUACUGUGUUCCCCGGUGAGAGUGCCGCCGAGCCGGUGCGCUCCGCCAGCCCCGAAAUGCGUCAUUACGACCGUUCCGCCGUCCCUCGACACUUUCGAAGAACCGUCACCUACUUGGGGAGACAGGUUGGUCAAGGCCAAGUCCGCCCGUUAGAUGCAAAGGUGCAGGCAAUAACGGAGUGCCCGUUCCGCCAACAAGGAGAGCCCUUCGUAGGUUCUUAGGCAUGGCAGGUUAUUGCCGGAGUUUCUGCCGUAACUUCUCGACUGUUACCCAUCCGCUGACCAAUCUGCUUAGUCCAAAGGUGGACUUCGUGUGGACCCCUGAGUGCCAGCAGGCUUUUGAAAGCGCCAAGGCUCUCCUAAGCAACACCCCGGUGCUCGCCGCUCCUGAUCUCACCAGACCCUUUAGGUUAGAGGUGGAUGCUAGCGCCGGCGGAGCUGGUGCGGUACUGUUGCAGGAAGAUGCUGAGGGGGUCGACCAUCCGGUUUGUUAUUUUUCGCGGCCGAGGAUCCGGGAGAAUAAAGAACAGCCGAGCUCAACAUUCAAGGCGGCUGGCUUCGGAGAUGCAGCUUGCCACGUUGGGUCUUGGAACGAGCGUUGUUAUAUUGAGGCUCUAGUUUGCUGCACGGGAACUGGGCCAGAGUUUUGUUUAAGGGUUAUCGUACACGGACUUGCAGUUAUACUUUGUUAUACACACUAGACGUAGGGGUGCUGUUCCACCCUUGUAUUUUGUG